rnacentral:rRNA from 1 species
GGGCCCGCACAAGCGGUUGAGCAUGUGGUUUAAUUCUACGCAACGCGAAGAACCUUACCUGGGCUCGAAAUGGAGUGGACCGGAGUGGAAACAUUCCUUCCCCGCAAGGGGCUGCUCUAUAGGUGCUGCAUGGCUGUCGUCAGCUCGUGUCGUGAGAUGUUGGGUUAAGUCCCGCAACGAGCGCAACCCUUAUUACCAGUUGCCAUCAUUCAGUUGGGCACUCUGGUGAGACCGCCUCGGAUAACGGGGAGGAAGGCGGGGAUGACGUCAAGUCCUCAUGGCCUUUAUGUCCAGGGCUACACACGUGCUACAAUGGCCGGUACAAACCGUCGCAAACCCGUGAGGGGGAGCUAAUCGGAAAAAGCCGGCCUCAGUUCGGAUUGUAGUCUGCAACUCGACUACAUGAAGCUGGAAUCGCUAGUAAUCGCGGAUAAAACGCCGCGGUGAAUACGUUCCCGGGCCUUGUACACACCGCCCGUCACAUCACGAAAGUGGGUUGUACUAGAAGUCGGGUGAGCCAACCGCAAGGGGGGCAGCCGCCCAAGGUGUAAUUCAUGAUUGGGGUG